rnacentral:misc_RNA from 1 species
CACCGCUGCAAGAGGGGAAGUUGCUACUGUGAUGAAUUCUGCCAUGUGGCACCAGACUGCCACCCAGACCACAGUGUCCUCUGCAACCCUGCUUCUCAGAUGACCAAGAUGGUGCUGCAGAUGGUGCUGAGGAUGGAGAACCCACCAAGCCCCGCUAGGAGCCACCUAGACUGGAUGCAGAGCAUGGCUAAAACCUUUGAAGAAGAAUUUAUUAUAUCCUACAAACCUGGGAGGCAGAGGUUGCAGUGAGCCAAGAUUGGGCCAUCGCACUCCAGCCUGGGCAAUAAGAAUGAAACUCUGUCUCAAAAAAAACAAAAGUUGGCCAGGGCUGGGCGUGGUGGCUCACACCUGUAAUCCCAGCACUUUGGGGGGCUAAAGCAGGUGGAUCACCUGAGGUCAGAAGUACGAGACCAUCAUGGCUAAUAUGGUGAAACCCCAUCUCUAGUCAAAG